CAGCAGCCGCGGGAAUACGAACCGUGCGAACGUUAUUCGGAAUCACUGGGCUUAAAGCGCGUGUAGGCGGGCCGUCACGUCGGCUGCUGAAAUCCCCCGGCUCAACCGGGGAAGUGGCACCGAUACGAGCGGCCUUGAGGGGGGUAGGGGGGUCUGGAACUUCCGGUGGAGCGGUGAAAUGCGUUGAGAUCGGAAGGAACGCCCGUGGCGAAAGCGAGGCCCUGGACCCUUUCUGACGCUGAGACGCGAAAGCCAGGGGAGCGAACGGGAUUAGAUACCCCUGUAGUCCCUGUCUCUUAUA
rnacentral:rRNA from 1 species